GACGAACGCUGGCGGCGUGCCUAACACAUGCAAGUCAAGGAGAAUUCCCGACUUGUCGGGAUAGUAAACUGGCGAACGGGUGAGUAACACGUAGGUAAUCUACCCUCGGGAUCGGGAUAACCUCGCGAAAGUGGGGAUAAUACCGAAUAAAGUCUCGGUAUAAUUUGUUGAGAUGAAAGAUGGGGAUCUUCGGACCUAUUACCUGAGGAUGAGCCUGCGCCUGAUUAGCUAGUUGGUAGGGUAAAUGCCUACCAAGGCAACGAUCAGUAGCUGGUCUGAGAGGAUGAUCAGCCACAUUGGGACUGAGAUACGGCCCAGACUCCUACGGGAGGCAGCAGUGAGGAAUUUUGCGCAAUGGGCGAAAGCCUGACGCAGCAACGCCGCGUGACUGAUUAAGCUCUGAGGAGUGUAAAAGUCUGUCGUAGAGGAAGAAACUAUCCGAUAAGAAUAUUGUCGGAUACUGACGGUACUCUAUGAGAAAGCUCCGGCUAACCG
rnacentral:rRNA from 1 species